rnacentral:rRNA from 1 species
ACGGUCCUAAGGUAGCGAAAUUCCUUGUCGGGUAAGUUCCGACCCGCACGAAUGGUGUAACGAUCUGGGCACUGUCUCAACUACCCACCCGGCGAAAUUGUAGUACCGGUGAAGAUGCCGGUUACCUGCGGCAAGACGGAAAGACCCCAUGGAGCUUUACUGUAGCCUGAUAUUGGGUUUCGGAAAUCUAUGUACAGGAUAGGCGGGAGACUGGGAAACAUGAGCGUCAGCUUGUGUGGAGUCGAUGUUGGGAUACCGCCCUUAGGUUUCUGGAAUUCUAACCUGCGGCCGUGAAUCCGGUCGGGGGACAUUGUCAGGUGGGCAGUUUGACUGGGGCGGUCGCCUCCGAAAAGGUAACGGAGGCGCUCAAAGGUUAGCUCAGCACGGACGGAAACCGUGCCUCUGAGUGUAAACGCAAAAGCUAGCCUAACUGCGAGGGUGACGGCCCGAGCAGUAACGAAAGUUGGAGUUAGUGAUCCGGCGGUAUGUGAAUGGAAAUGCCGUCGCUCAACGGAUAAAAGCUACCCUGGGGAUAACAGGCUGAUCUCCCCCAAGAGUCCACAUCGACGGGGAGGUUUGGCACCUCGAUGUCGGCUCAUCACAUCCUGGGGCUGUAUUCGGUCCCAAGGGUUCGGCUGUUCGCCGAUUAAAGUGGUACGCGAGCUGGGUUCAGAACGUCGCGAGACAGUUCGGUCCCUAUCUGUCGUGGGCGCAGGAUAUUUGAGGAGCUCUGUCCUUAGUACGAGAGGACCGGGAUGGACGUACCUCUGGUGCACCAGUUGUCAUGCCAAUGGCACGGCUGGGCAGCUAUGUACGGAACGGAUAAACGCUGAAAGCAUCUAAGCGUGAAGCCGACUCCAAGAUUAGAUAUCCCAUCGUAUAACGAGUAAGACCCCUUGAAGACUACGAGGUUGAUAGGCUGCGUGUGUAAGUGCCGUGAGGCAUUCAGCUUGGCAGUACUAAUAGGUCGAGGGCUUGACCAC